AUUGAACGCUGGCGGCAGGCCUAACACAUGCAAGUCGAGCGGUAGCACAGGGAGCUUGCUCCUGGGUGAUGAGCGGCGGACGGGUGAGUAAUGUCUGGGAAACUGCCUGAUGGAGGGGGAUAACUACUGGAAACGGUAGCUAAUACCGCAUAACGUCGCAAGACCAAAGAGGGGGACCUUCGGGCCUCUUGCCAUCAGAUGUGCCAAGAUGGGAUUAGCUAGUAGGUGGGGUAAUGGCUCACCUAGGCGACGAUCCCUAGCUGGUCUGAGAGGAUGACCAGCCACACUGGAACUGAGACACGGUCCAGACUCCUACGGGAGGCAGCAGUGGGGAAUAUUGCACAAUGGGCGCAAGCCUGAUGCAGCCAUGCCGCGUGUAUGAAGAAGGCCUUCGGGUUGUAAAGUACUUUCAGCGGGGAGGAAGGUGUUGAGGUUAAUAACCUCAGCAAUUGACGUUACCCGCAGAAGAAGCACCGGCUAACUCCGUGCCAGCCGCCGCCGUAA
rnacentral:rRNA from 1 species